CUCUGCAGGUGAGAUGUAAUUAUUUAUGUAUAUAUGAACUAUGAUAUUUCUGAUUGAGAAUUAUUUUUUGGAAAACUGUGCAAUUUUUCAUAACUAGUGUUACAUUCUCUAAAGGAGAUCUACUAUAAUUUAUGUAUUGCUGUAGUGACUUUUAGCUUAUGAAUUCCCAUGUGACCUUGUGAAGAAUUUUCUGUAGUGGCAUGAAGAAGAUAACAACACAUCAUUUGUAAACCUAUCCAAGAAUUUUUUAUGGAGAGGAAAAGACUUCCAUCAUUUUAUGUUAGAAUUAUGUUAGAAAGAUCUCCCUUUCUCCUAUGCGAAAAAUGCAAGUGUUCCAGAACCUAAAUGAAAUCUGCAACUUGAUCUAGUUAGUCAAUGAUAAGGUUCUUAAGGCCUUUCCCAUUCUUAAAGUUGGACCUAUGAUAUAAGACCUUAUAUUUUAGUAAGAAGUUCUAUCUCCCAAAGUGUAUGACAGCACUUUCCUUUUGGCAGCCAUUUUGAUCAUUGUUUUUAUGGCAUUUCAGGAGAAGGGUUGUCAGCAGAGGACGUGGAGUAGAAGCAACAAGAAGACCAACAAGAGCACAGAGACCUCCACAAGAACCGAGUAUGCUCAGUAAAGUAGCAGAUCAACCAGAGGUGUAUUUCUUUUUUACCUUGACUAACAUAUUUGAAUGAUUAAUGGACAUACAAAAUACUUGAGCAUGUGUUAAUUGAAAAAACUUUUUUCUUUUCU
rnacentral:lncRNA from 1 species